AACCAUUCUCACCUGCGGCUAGACCUGCGGAGGGAUCAUUACAGAGUUGCAAAACUCCCUAAACCAUUGUGAACCUACCUUCUACCGUUGCUUCGGCGGGCGGGCCUAGCGCCCCCCCGGCCCCCCGCGGGCGCCCGCCGGAGGAUAACCAAACUCUUGACAUCAGUGGCCUCUCUGAGUAUUCUUUACUGAAUAAGUCAAAACUUUCAACAAUGGAUCU
rnacentral:misc_RNA from 1 species